UAUGAGAGUUUGAUCCUGGCUCAGGACGAACGCUGGCGGCGUGCCUAAUACAUGCAAGUCGAACGCUUCUUUUUCCACCGGAGCUUGCUCCACCGGAAAAAGAGGAGUGGCGAACGGGUGAGUAACACGUGGGUAACCUGCCCAUCAGAAGGGGAUAACACUUGGAAACAGGUGCUAAUACCGUAUAACAAUCGAAACCGCAUGGUUUUGAUUUGAAAGGCGCUUUCGGGUGUCGCUGAUGGAUGGACCCGCGGUGCAUUAGCUAGUUGGUGAGGUAACGGCUCACCAAGGCCACGAUGCAUAGCCGACCUGAGAGGGUGAUCGGCCACAUUGGGACUGAGACACGGCCCAAACUCCUACGGGAGGCAGCAGUAGGGAAUCUUCGGCAAUGGACGAAAGUCUGACCGAGCAACGCCGCGUGAGUGAAGAAGGUUUUCGGAUCGUAAAACUCUGUUGUUAGAGAAGAACAAGGAUGAGAGUAACUGUUCAUCCCUUGACGGUAUCUAACCAGAAAGCCACGGCUAACUACGUGCCAGCAGCCGCGGUAAUACGUAGGUGGCAAGCGUUGUCCGGAUUUAUUAGUUCUUGACAAAUAACAAACGAUAAGUUAUGAUAAAUGAGUUGCUGAAAGAUUUCGAAAAACGAAAUCGAAAAAAACUUUUAAAAAGAGUUGACAAUCGCUUGUCGGAAUUCCAUGUGUAGCGGUGAAAUGCGUAGAUAUAUGGAGGAACACCAGUGGCGAAGGCGGCUCUCUGGUCUGUAACUGACGCUGAGGCUCGAAAGCGUGGGGAGCAAACAGGAUUAGAUACCCUGGUAGUCCACGCCGUAAACGAUGAGUGCUAAGUGUUGGAGGGUUUCCGCCCUUCAGUGCUGCAGCUAACGCAUUAAGCACUCCG
rnacentral:rRNA from 1 species